AGUGGAGGGGUAGUACUUCAGCACUUAGGGGUUAGCUUAUUUCCUACCUUAGGGAGAGGAAAAUGAUAUCUAAGGGGGUGUGUUUAUCAUCUCAUUCGAGUUAAAUACACUAGUUCAGAGACACCUAAUAUUGAGUCAGUUCCAGUAGCAUGUGAAUUCCCAGAUGUGUUAUUCGAAGAUCUACUAGGAGUCCCUCCCGAG
rnacentral:lncRNA from 1 species